rnacentral:rRNA from 1 species
UCCGGGGGUAGAGCACUGUUUCGGCAAGGGGGUCAUCCCGACUUACCAACCCGAUGCAAACUGCGAAUACCGGAGAAUGUUAUCACGGGAGACACACGGCGGGUGCUAACGUCCGUCGUGAAGAGGGAAACAACCCAGACCGCCAGCUAAGGUCCCAAAGUCAUGGUUAAGUGGGAAACGAUGUGGGAAGGCCCAGACAGCCAGGAUGUUGGCUUAGAAGCAGCCAUCAUUUAAAGAAAGCGUAAUAGCUCACUGGUCGAGUCGGCCUGCGCGGAAGAUGUAACGGGGCUAAACCAUGCACCGAAGCUGCGGCAGCGACGCUGAUGCGUUGUUGGGUAGGGGAGCGUUCUGUAAGCCUGUGAAGGUGUGCUGUGAGGCAUGCUGGAGGUAUCAGAAGUGCGAAUGCUGACAUAAGUAACGAUAAAGCGGGUGAAAAGCCCGCUCGCCGGAAGACCAAGGGUUCCUGUCCAACGUUAAUCGGGGCAGGGUGAGUCGACCCCUAAGGCGAGGCCGAAAGGCGUAGUCGAUGGGAAACAGGUUAAUAUUCCUGUACUUGGUGUUACUGCGAAGGGGGGACGGAGAAGGCUAUGUUGGCCGGGCGACGGUUGUCCCGGUUUAAGCGUGUAGGCUGGUUUUCCAGGCAAAUCCGGAAAACUAAGGCUGAGGCGUGAUGACGAGGCACUACGGUGCUGAAGCAACAAAUGCCCUGCUUCCAGGAAAAGCCUCUAAGCAUCAGGUAACAUCAAAUCGUACCCCAAACCGACACAGGUGGUCAGGUAGAGAAUACCAAGGCGCUUGAGAGAACUCGGGUGAAGGAACUAGGCAAAAUGGUGCCGUAACUUCGGGAGAAGGCACGCUGAUAUGUAGGUGAAGUCCCUCGCGGAUGGAGCUGAAAUCAGUCGAAGAUACCAGCUGGCUGCAACUGUUUAUUAAAAACACAGCACUGUGCAAACACGAAAGUGGACGUAUACGGUGUGACGCCUGCCCGGUGCCGGAAGGUUAAUUGAUGGGGUCAGCGCAAGCGAAGCUCUUGAUCGAAGCCCCGGUAAACGGCGGCCGUAACUAUAACGGUCCUAAGGUAGCGAAAUUCCUUGUCGGGUAAGUUCCGACCUGCACGAAUGGCGUAAUGAUGGCCAGGCUGUCUCCACCCGAGACUCAGUGAAAUUGAACUCGCUGUGAAGAUGCAGUGUACCCGCGGCAAGACGGAAAGACCCCGUGAACCUUUACUAUAGCUUGACACUGAACAUUGAGCCUUGAUGUGUAGGAUAGGUGGGAGGCUUUGAAGUGUGGACGCCAGUCUGCAUGGAGCCGACCUUGAAAUACCACCCUUUAAUGUUUGAUGUUCUAACGUUGACCCGUAAUCCGGGUUGCGGACAGUGUCUGGUGGGUAGUUUGACUGGGGCGGUCUCCUCCUAAAGAGUAACGGAGGAGCACGAAGGUUGGCUAAUCCUGGUCGGACAUCAGGAGGUUAGUGCAAUGGCAUAAGCCAGCUUGACUGCGAGCGUGACGGCGCGAGCAGGUGCGAAAGCAGGUCAUAGUGAUCCGGUGGUUCUGAAUGGAAGGGCCAUCGCUCAACGGAUAAAAGGUACUCCGGGGAUAACAGGCUGAUACCGCCCAAGAGUUCAUAUCGACGGCGGUGUUUGGCACCUCGAUGUCGGCUCAUCACAUCCUGGGGCUGAAGUAGGUCCCAAGGGUAUGGCUGUUCGCCAUUUAAAGUGGUACGCGAGCUGGGUUUAGAACGUCGUGAGACAGUUCGGUCCCUAUCUGCCGUGGGCGCUGGAGAACUGAGGGGGGCUGCUCCUAGUACGAGAGGACCGGAGUGGACGCAUCACUGGUGUUCGGGUUGUCAUGCCAAUGGCACUGCCCGGUAGCUAAAUGCGGAAGAGAUAAGUGCUGAAAGCAUCUAAGCACGAAACUUGCCCCGAGAUGAGUUCUCCCUGACUCCUUGAGAGUCCUGAAGGAACGUUGAAG